rnacentral:rRNA from 1 species
UUCCGGUUGAUCCCGCCGGAGGUCACUGCUAUUGGGAUUCGACUAAGCCAUGCGAGUCGAGAGGGUUCGGCCCUCGGCUGACGGCUCAGUAACACGUGGAUAAUCUGCCCUUAGGUGGAGAAUAAUCUCGGGAAACUGAGGAUAAUACUCCAUAGAUCUAGGAUGCUGGAAUGCAUUUAGAUUGAAAGCUCCGGCGCCUAAGGAUGAGUCUGCGGACUAUCAGGUUGUAGUCAGGGUAAAGACCUGACUAGCCUACGACGGAUACGGGUUGUGAGAGCAAUAACCCGGAGACGAUAUCUGAGACACGAUAUCGGGCCCUACGGGGCGCAGCAGGCGCGAAAACUUCACACUGUGCGAAAGCGCGAUGAGGGAAUCCCAAGUGUUUGCUCGUAAGAGUAAACUGUUUCUUUGUUUAAAACGCAGAGAGAGUAAGGGCUGGGUAAGACGGGUGCCAGCCGCCGCGGUAAUACCUGCAGCUCAAGUGGUGAUCAUUAUUAUUGGGCCUAAAACGUCCGUAGCCGGUUUGGUAAAUGCCUGGGUAAAUCGUGUAGCUUAACUAUACGACUUCCGGGUAGACUGCUAAACUUGGGACCGGGAGAGGCUAGAGGUACUCCUGGGGUAGAGGUGAAAUUCUGUAAUCCUAGGGGGACCACCAGUGGCGAAGGCGUCUAGCUAGAACGGGUCUGACGGUGAGGGACGAAGCCCUGGGGCGCAAACCGGAUUAGAUACCCGGGUAGUCCAGGGUGUAAACGCUGCUUGCUUGAUGUUAGUUGGGCUCCGAGCCCAACUAGUGUCGGAGAGAAGUUGUUAAGCAAGCUGCCUGGGGAGUACGGUCGCAAGGCUGAAACUUAAAGGAAUUGGCGGGGGAGCACAGCAACGGGUGGAGCGUGCGGUUUAAUUGGAUUCAACGCCGGAAAUCACUAGUGCGGCCGCCUGCAGGUCGACCAUAU